UGGUCUGGGGCCGGGGGCAAACCCGAAGCCUGGGCUGUCGGCGUUUCUGGGGCUUUCUGCCACGUCUUUCCAACACCCUCGGCCUCUCCCCUGAACCCUCCCGCAGCCCCUGUUUCUUUCUUCUGGCGCGAGAUCCUGGGACGAGGCCCCGGACCGGGGAUGGGUGGUUCUCAGGGGUUCCUGUCCCUGUCGCCCCCACCCCAGGGACAACCAGCACGUCCUCUCGGACUGCCCUGGCCGGCCGGGGGUUGGGGUUUGGGUCUCCUUUUCACCUCCUGGUAGGAGCCGACGAACCCCUUCACUUCCGACGGCUUUGUUUUCCCUGGGGCGGGCCUCGCUGGGAUAGAGCCGCCGACCCAGCGACUGCCCUGUCAUUAUCCCGGGCAAAUAGGCGACCUGCGCUGGGCUGAGUCACGAGGAGGGAGUUGUUGCCGAGGACACGGAGGCCUGGCCUAGGUGGUAUCCUCAAGCCGGGAUGCUCCUUCCCUCCAGAUUAGAAAGCUGAGGCUCCAUAACUUGCCCAGGAGCAUAGUAGGCAUCAGGCAGAGUCCUCACCUGCCUCAGUGCAGCAGUGCCCUCCUUCCUGAGCAGCCCUCCGGGCUGGGGCCCUCCCUCCAAGGCCAUGAUGGGGAAGAAGCUAGGCUCUGGCAACUUCUCCAGCUGCCCCAAUGGCUCCCGCCAGUGGAUAUGGGAAGUGUUUGGUGAAUGUGCUGUGGACGCCUGGGAUGAGGCCAGCGUGGGCCUGGGCUUGAUCUCCAUUCUCUGCUUUGCUGGAUCCACCUUCCCCCAAUACAUCAAGGCCUGCAGGGCAGGCAACAUGGACCAGGCCCUGUCCUUGUGGUUCCUGCUGGGCUGGCUCGGCGGAGACUCCUGCAACCUCAUCGGCUCCUUCCUCGCCGAUCAGCUGCCCUUGCAGACCUACACGGCGGUGUAUUAUGUCAUGGCGGACCUGCUGAUGCUGACGCUGUACUUUCAUUACAAGUACAAGAAGCGUGCCUCCCGGUUGUCUGCCCCCAUCAAUGCUGCACUCUUGCUCAUCUUGGGAACAGCGUUUUGCACCCGGCUGCUGAGCAGGCCUGGCCCGGUGGCCUCCCCGAGGGAGGUCUUCCAGGGGCGGACACUCCUUUCGGUGGAACCAGGCGAUAAGCCCUUCACCCAUCAGGAAAUUGUUGGCUUUGUCAUCGGCUCUGUCUCCAGCGUGCUGUAUCUGCUCUCCCGGCUGCCUCAGAUACACACCAAUUUCCUGCGGAAGUCGACUCAGGGGAUCUCCUACUCGCUGUUCGCGCUGGUGAUGCUGGGGAACACACUGUACGGGCUGAGCGUGCUGCUCAAAAACCCAGAGGUGGGCCAGAGCAAGGGCAGCUACGUGCUGCACCACCUGCCCUGGCUCGUGGGCAGCCUGGGCGUGCUGCUGCUUGACACCAUUAUCUCCGUGCAGUUCCUCAUCUACAGAAAUGCUCCUGCCGCCUCCUCAGAGAGCGAGCCCCUCCUUCCCAGCUGACCAGGGCCCAGGCUGAACCAGGGUGACAGGGACCUCCAGAUGCCACAUCCAGGGAGGGAGUGAGGGGUGGCCCAGGACCGUGCUACUGGGGUAUGGAGGAAGACAGUGCGAGGCCUACAACUCUGGCCCCGUCCCCUACCCCCACACUUCUAAGACUUCUGAGGGCUACGGACUGCCUCUUCCCCGGAGCAAGAUGCUCCUGAGGCCCAGCCACUGCCUUGCAAGACUGCCCCUGAGAGCCUUAAGGGAGGGACAACAGCUGGAACCCAGAAAACAGUGUGGCGGGCCCUCCUGCUCACCUACCUCAUUCUGCCUGCUCCCCCUCCACCCCAGAGGGCAGGCACAGCUGCAGCCUGGUGGACCCAGAACUGUCCUGCUGACUCCAGACAUCCUACUGCUUCUCUGUGCACCUGGUGGUGGGACAUGGCUGUGGGAAUGGUACGUCAACAGGGUCCCUGUGUCUCGGCAUGCAGGAAGAAGCAGGAUAGCAGAUCCUGGUUCUGCACCUUAACUUCUGGGCCUUAGUUGCCUCAUCUGUGAAAUGGGGAUGGCGAUAUUACCAAAAGAUGAAAGGUCUUUCAUAGGAUUAAAUGUUGUUGCUAGCUGC